CCUACGGGAGGCAGCAGUAGGGAAUAUUGCUCAAUGGGGGAAACCCUGAAGCAGCAACGCCGCGUGGAGGAUGAAGGUUUUAGGAUUGUAAACUCCUUUUGGUAGAGAGGAUUAUGACGGUAUCUAACGAAUAAGCACCGGCUAACGUCGUGCCAGCAGCCGCGGUAAUACGGAGGGAGCAAGCGUUACUCGGAAUCACUGGGCGUAAAGAGUGCGUAGGCGGGGUAAUAAGUCAGAUGUGAAAUCCUGUAGCUUAACUACAGAACUGCAUUUGAAACUGGUACUCUGGAGUGUGGGAGAGGUAGGGGGAAUGCGUGGUGUAGGGGUAAAAUGCGUAGAGAUCAAGAGGAAUACUCAUUGCGAAGGCGACCUGCUGGAACAUUACUGACGCUGAUGCACGAAAGCGUGGGGAGCAAACAGGAUUAGAUACCCCUGUAGUC
rnacentral:rRNA from 1 species